rnacentral:rRNA from 1 species
UACGGAGGGUGCAAGCGUUGUCCGGAAUCACUGGGCGUAAAGGGCGCGUAGGCGGCUCAUGAAGGCUGUGGUGAAAGUCCGGGGCUCAACCUCGGAUCGGCCGUGCGAACUGGGGGCUGGAGCACUGUAGAGGCAGGCGGAAUUCCGGGUGUAGCGGUGGAAUGCGUAGAGAUCCGGAAGAACACCGGUGGCGAAGGCGGCCUGCUGGGCAGUUUGCUGACACUGAGGCGCGACAGCGUGGGGAGCAAACAGG